GGAUGUAAGGGCGAUCUGGCUGUGACAUCUGUCACCCCAUUGAUCGCCAGGGUUGAUCUGGCUGACCUGGCUGGCUCGGCGGGUAUCCCCUUCCUCCCACACUGCUCCAUGUACGUCCCUCCAGAAGCUGCACGCACAGUCGAAGAGCAUGACCAUCCCCUAUAGAGGAGGACUGUUCUUCGGUCAAGGGUAUACCAGUAGCUGUGCAGCCCUGCUAGAACCUCUCAACAAGCUCUCAAGGACUAGAGUGAGAAUGAGACAGACUUACUUUCUUCAUGAUGCACAUGAGUCAUUGGUCCAUAUGU
rnacentral:snRNA from 9 species